UAAUAUAUAUUCUUAGAUUUUCUAAGAAGCAUAUUUAACAUGAUACUAAAUUAUUAGUGUUUUUGAAGAGUAACUUUAAAUGAAGGAUAGAUGAAGGCGAAGGCGAUUUGUGUAUUACAUUAAACAUGAAUGACCUCAGCUGAAUCCCCAAGAACAUUGGGUUAUAAUAAGUAACACGCUUAUAACAUGUGUUACGUCCCAGGAUGUAUGAAUUUGUUUUAUUAUCAUGGUGUGCGUUUUUCAUGAUAUGCUGGCAGUGGACCCAACGGCCCUCUGGGAGUUCUCCUAAUUAUUGUCCUAAUCUAGGUGACUGGACCUAUCAGCUGCUCCUUGUCAGUGUCAAGAGGAACCAGUAUUAAAGAAGAUCAAGCGAGUGAGCCAGUGAGAUGUUCCUUCUCCCAAGAGCAUGAGUGUGUUGAGAUGUUUACUGGAGCAGUUGGGAGUUGGAUGAGAGGAGAUAUUGUUAAGAAUGGAAUUUGAUUUGACUGCGUUCACUUUGGCUCCUUCAGAAGAAGCUCCUAUGUGGAUGUCCGGACCUGAAGAUGUGCUGAAGCUGUUGGUUCUUCAGGAAGAAGCACGCAGAGAAAGGUGUUGUAAUGCUAAUUCUAAUUGCAUUAUCAUUUUUGCUCUGGAUUCAAAGCUCUCUCUGGACCAGAUGCUUUCAUGCAUUCUAAACAAAUUGGGAUUGUGAAAUGGCCGACUUCAAUCCUUCUUGGGUCGGAUACCCAUGUCUAAAUUCUACCGAGGGUCUAAAUUUGCUUCAGACUACGUAUCAAAAGGUUAAGAAUUGUUGUUGCAGACUUUAUGGCAACUGUGACCUUUUGGCUCGGUCACUGCCCAAAUUAUCCAGAGAAUGCCCUCAUAAUGCACAACGGUUGUUGGUGGCAUGAUUAUGUGGAUGUGUUUGGAAAUUAUAGCUCCCUUAGUUAGAUUCCCAUUGCCGUAGUUAGUUUGAACCAGAGUGAUUGUCCAGUCAAAAUAAACAAACACCGCAUAUGUGUUGAAUCAAAAAUCACCUGCUGCUCCUAAAUGCAGCAAAAGGGAAGAAGACGACCCGCAGCAGACUCAUGUGAUUUUGGAGGGAAAAGCGGUUAAGUUGCCUUUGUAUCCUAGUGCACCUGACCCCCAUCACAUUGUCUGUCUUUCUGCAUAAAAAAGCUAGAGACCAGCUCGAAUCAAACACAGUGGUAAGGUCUGUAGUACAGGGUUACUUGUACAGUAACAUUUUUGUUCGAGAUGAUCCUGGUUCUGAGAUGUACAAGUUGGUUGCAAAUGACAAAUUUCUGAGGUGAUGGAAUGUUUUGCAACCUGCUAAAGUCCACUUGGUCAGAUGGGAGAAGGACAGAUCUUAUGGGGUGAUAUGUGAUAGAUUAGGACAGCUGGAUAAAACUGAUAAGGGUAAUUCUGAUCUCAAUGAAGUAAGAAUGAAUUACGAAAUGUAAAUGCAUGCUCUCUCUUGGCCAAGAUAUACUAGGUUUGAUCCUUUGAAGGUUGCAUGUGUAAAGAUGCUUGGGUAGAGAGGUGCAACUGAUGCAGACUGCUAGAUGCGCAGCAAUUGUUAAAGUAAUGGGUACCCCGGGAAUGAAAGUCCCAAUGGAAAUCUGCAACUCCUCAUUUGUCAAGGCUGAUUACACUUGGGCAAAUAUUGUAGAUGUGUUAUUUCGGUAUGAUAUCGCCCUGCUACUGGCUAAUAAAUCCAUUACUAGAAUGGAACCACUACAUGACCAUCUGGAAAGUAAGCGUUAUAGUCCCACCUCUAUGGUCUAUAAUGUCACGGCAUGGAUGCAUUUGAAUGUGUUCCACUUGUGUUAAGAGAUUAUUGCCAGCAGGAAAAUGACGAUGCGGGUACCCCAGAUGGUAGAUUUAGUAUGGAAAGAUUUCCAGCUGCAUCAAGUUUACAUGUGGUCCCAGGUAUCUGAUGUUUCUUUAGGAGACGGGUAGUUUUGUGCUUAACUAUGAUUUGUGAAGUCAGCUUAUGCAAGAAAAAUGUGAAUUUCUUCCUACGUUGUACUGCAGAGAGCAAGUCAUAUAUAUAUAUUUUACAAAAUACGAAGAGUCAGGGUAAAAGUAAUGACUUAUUUGUCCAUUGCAAUAUCAAGUCAAAACACAUGUAUACAAAACCUAGCAUUUACACAGGUGAGACUUUGCUACAACUGCAAAGACAAAGAUUUAACUUUUCAAAUACCGCAUCAGACCCUCACGUACAUCCCUGCUCUGCUCCUCAGCACCCUGUGCCAGUGGCACCACUGGCUCUGCUGCAACAGGUGUAUCCCAUUCGUGCUGGUAAUCCUCUCCAUGACCUUCACAAAGAUUGUGCAGAGCACAGCAAGUCAACACCAUGGAUUUCACCAGUUCAAUGUCGCUGUCAUUCCUCUUCAUAAGGCACUGCCACCUCCCUUUGAGUCUUCCAAAAGCAUUUUCUACCACCACCUGUCCCCUGCACACUUUCUUGUUGUAGGUCUGUUGUUCUGCCGGUCAUCGUCAGGGAACGGUUUUAGGAGCCAAUUCUGCAAAGGGUAGGCAGAGUCUCAGAGUACAUAAUAGCCAGCAGUAAUCCCAUGCAAACUCCCAGCCAUUCCUGCAUAUACACUCCAAAACAGUCCUUUUCCAUCAACAACUCCUUGCAGGAUGAUGGAAUGGCAGCCUUUUCUGUUGAAGUAAUCACAGUGGUACUCCUUUGGGGCUAUAAUCAGUAUGUGUGACCCAUCAAUGGCACUAACACACUGUGGAAGCCCCCAUCGGUGCUCAAAGUAAGCCGCCAUUUCUUUAAGCUCUUGCUGGUCAGGAAAACAAAUCUGUUCUGGAACAAAUAAUUUGCAGGCGGCUCCUGCACACACCGACAUGAAGUUGUUUUGCUGAUACCGAAAAGAUGGCCAAUACUUCUGUAGUCGCUGUUGGUUGCUAGCUUCCAUAGUGCAAUGGCAACUCUUUUCUUCAGGGGAACAACUGACUCUGAAGUUUGUGUCAUGCUUUUCCAUUUCCGAAUGCAGCUUGGCACAAAAGCAGAGAAAUGUUUCUUCAGACAUCCUGAAGUUGUGCACCCACUGUGUGUGUGUGAAUCCUGGAACGAUCGCAUCCCACCAUUCACUUGUGUGGCUGAAAGUCCAAAUGAUCGGUCUGUGGCGUCGAUUUUGCAACAAAUUGAUCCUCUAAAAAAAAUACAAGUAGCAAACACAUUGUAAAACACCACAGAAUGUGUGAUAAAAGACAGCACUGUGCACUUCAGUAAUUGGCUCGUGUCAUAUAUGUAUGUUUAUUUAUGUGUUUAUGUAUGUACCAAGAGCUCCUAAACUCCUUUCACUUUCUGUGAGAAGAAAGCACCCCUACAGCAACUUCCGAAGCUGAACUGUGUUUUACUCUAGGAUUACAUAAAAUCUCAUGAUUUUAUGUAAUGAAUAAUAAUAAAUGAACUGAAUAAUAAAAAGAAAAAAGAAAACACUGAUUAGUCUUCCCUCUAUAAAUUAAAUAUGCAACGAUUCUUAUUUAAGCUACAAAAGUUAUUCAGGAAAGAGCAGUGAGUGAUUUUUCUCUUUGUCUUUUAUUCAUGGCCCCAAAUAUUGCAUGCUGCGGCGAUAUGCAUAUUGCAAUAUGUACAACCUUCACAGUACUUUUAAUAUAUUAAAUACACUGUAUGUGUUAAAUUUAUACCAAGAUACGUAUGUUAGUUAGUACAUGAGACGAAAUACAUUGUAACACACAAUGUAAAAACAUUAGCUUAUGUUAGC